AGGAAGAGAAAGCAAAAGCGAUUGCCUUAGUAGCGGCGAGCGAAACGGCAGAAGGGCAAACCGAAGAGUUUACUCUUCGGGGUUGUAGGACUGCAAUGUGGACUCAAAGAUUAUAGAAGAAUGAUUUGGGAAGAUCAGCCAAAGAGAGUAAUAGCCUCGUAUUUAAAAUAGUCUUUGUACUUAGCAGUAUCCUGAGUACGGCGGGACACGUGAAAUCCCGUCGGAAUCUGGGAGGACCAUCUCCCAACCCUAAAUACUCCCUAGUGACCGAUAGUGAACCAGUACCGUGAGGGAAAGGUGAAAAGCACCCCGGGAGGGGAGUGAAAUAGAACCUGAAACCGUGUGCCUACAACAAGUUCGAGCCCGUUAAUGGGUGAGAGCGUGCCUUUUGUAGAAUGAACCGGCGAGUUACGUUAUGAUGCGAGGUUAAGUUGAAGAGACGGAGCCGUAGGGAAACCGAGUCUGAAUAGGGCGCCUUAGUAUCAUGACGUAGACCCGAAACCAUGUGACCUACCCAUGAGCAGGUUGAAGGUGCGGUAAGACGCACUGGAGGACCGAACCAGGGCACGUUGAAAAGUGCUUGGAUGACUUGUGGGUAGCGGAGAAAUUCCAAACGAACUUGGAGAUAGCUGGUUCUCUCCGAAAUAGCUUUAGGGCUAGCGUCGACAUUAGAGAUUCUUGGAGGUAGAGCACUGUUUGGGUGAGGGGUCCAUCCCGGAUUACCAAUCUCAGAUAAACUCCGAAUGCCAAUGAAUUAUGGUCGGCAGUCAGACUGCGAGUGCAAAGAUCCGUAGUCGAAAGGGAAACAGCCCAGACCACCAGCUAAGGUCCCAAAAUAAUUGUUAAGUGGAAAAGGAUGUGGGGUUGCACAGACAACUAGGAUGUUAGCUUAGAAGCAGCUAUUCAUUCAAAGAGUGCGUAAUAGCUCACUAGUCGAGUGACCCUGCGCCGAAAAUGUACCGGGGCUAAAACAAUUUACCGAAGCUGUGGAUACCUUUAUAGGUAUGGUAGGAGAGCGUUCUAUGUGUGAUGAAGGUAUACCGUGAGGAGUGCUGGAACGCAUAGAAGUGAGAAUGCCGGUAUGAGUAGCGAAAGACAGGUGAGAAUCCUGUCCACCGUAAGACUAAGGUUUCCAGGGGAAGGCUCGUCCGCCCUGGGUUAGUCGGGACCUAAGGAGAGACCGAAAGGUGUAUCCGAUGGACAACAGGUUGAUAUUCCUGUACUAGAGUAUGUAGUGAUGGAGGGACGCAGUAGGCUAACUAAAGCAGACGAUUGGAAGAGUCUGUCUAAGCAGUGAGGUGUGAAUUGAGUCAAAUGCUUAAUUCUAUAACAUUGAGCUGUGAUGGGGAGCGAAGUUUAGUAGCGAAGUUAGUGACGUCACACUGCCAAGAAAAGCUUCUAGCGUUUAAACAUACUCUACCCGUACCGCAAACCGACACAGGUAGUCGAGGCGAGUAGCCUCAGGUGAGCGAGAGAACUCUCGUUAAGGAACUCGGCAAAAUGACCCCGUAACUUCGGGAGAAGGGGUGCUGACUUAAAGUCAGCCGCAGUGAAUAGGCCCAAGCAACUGUUUAUCAAAAACACAGCUCUCUGCUAAAUCGUAAGAUGAUGUAUAGGGGGUGACGCCUGCCCGGUGCUGGAAGGUUAAGAGGAGUGCUUAGCGUAAGCGAAGGUAUGAAUUGAAGCCCCAGUAAACGGCGGCCGUAACUAUAACGGUCCUAAGGUAGCGAAAUUCCUUGUCGGGUAAGUUCCGACCCGCACGAAAGGCGUAAUGAUUUGGGCACUGUCUCAACGAGAGACUCGGUGAAAUUUUAGUACCUGUGAAGAUGCAGGUUACCCGCGACAGGACGGAAAGACCCCAUGGAGCUUUACUGCAGUUUGAUAUUGAGUGUCUGUACCACAUGUACAGGAUAGGUAGGAGUCUAAGAGAUCGGGACGCCAGUUUCGAAGGAGACGCUGUUGGGAUACUACCCUUGUGUUAUGGCCACUCUAACCCAGAUAGGUGAUCCCUAUCGGAGACAGUGUCUGACGGGCAGUUUGACUGGGGCGGUCGCCUCCUAAAAGGUAACGGAGGCGCCCAAAGGUUCCCUCAGAAUGGUUGGAAAUCAUUCGCAGAGUGUAAAGGUAUAAGGGAGCUUGACUGCGAGAGCUACAACUCGAGCAGGGACGAAAGUCGGGCUUAGUGAUCCGGUGGUUCCGUAUGGAAGGGCCAUCGCUCAACGGAUAAAAGCUACCCUGGGGAUAACAGGCUUAUCUCCCCCAAGAGUUCACAUCGACGGGGAGGUUUGGCACCUCGAUGUCGGCUCGUCGCAUCCUGGGGCUGUAGUCGGUCCCAAGGGUUGGGCUGUUCGCCCAUUAAAGCGGCACGCGAGCUGGGUUCAGAACGUCGUGAGACAGUUCGGUCCCUAUCCGUCGCGGGCGUAGGAAAUUUGAGAGGAUCUGCUCCUAGUACGAGAGGACCAGAGUGGACUUACCGCUGGUGUACCAGUUGUCUUGCCAAAGGCAUCGCUGGGUAGCUAUGUAGGGAAGGGAUAAACGCUGAAAGCAUCUAAGUGUGAAACCCACCUCAAGAUGAGAUUUCCCAUGAUUAUAUAUCAGUAAGAGCCCUGAGAGAUGAUCAGGUAGAUAGGUUAGAAGUGGAAGUGUGGCGACACAUGUAGCGGACUAAUACUAAUAGCUCGAGGACUUAUCCAA
rnacentral:rRNA from 1 species